GGAAAGCUUCGUCCGGGCAGAAGGGCUCAGUCCCCCAAGUGUUUUGCAAGGCUGAAUGGUUGCCAUGGGAGACUAAAGUAAACAUGGAUAAAAGAAUCAAAGCAACACUCCAGAAGCCCCGGAUGAUUGCUUUGAUGUGGCCCGGCCCUCGGUGUCCCUCUGAGGAAAAUGACAAAGCGCCAUGUCGCAGAGGAAUGCUGAACAUGUUGUGGCCAGUCGCCCAGGAGUUGUGUGUUCAGCCUUCUUCCAAGUGUCUGGCUGAUGGAAGGCUGCUUAAGAAGGGGAACAUAUCUUCUAUAUAGACACCUUUUUUUCUCCAUCUGCUUACAACAUGUGCGGAAAAUGACCGGGAGACGUAAGAAGCCGGAAAGAGGAUGGAUAGUGGAUAGAUAGGGAAGUGCAUAAGGAGAGCGGAGGAAUCCGAGAAGGCGGGAAUAACAAACCCGCCUCAUAACAAGGGCUUGUGGAAAAAAACGACUGCAGCGGUUAAAAACUGUGUCAGAUCAUUUACCAGCGGGGGAUGAGGGACUUCAUCAGCCCUGCAGAGAGGCACUUGUCUAGUCAGCACUGCAACACAGAAACAGCCACGGCUUUAUUUGUGAGCCUGGAAUGUUCCUGUGUGCGCAAGGCCAGCACCCAAACAACCAGCCCUCAGCGCUACCUAGAGAGGGAACGUGGAUCUGACCUGAGCCAGACACCGCUGCAGAUGUACAGACGCAAGUUAUUGUUGCAGGUGACCCGACAGGCCUGUAGCUCUGUUUAACUGGCAGAAGUGACCCAGCAAAGAGCCCCAUCUGAAUCACAGAGUCUGAUGUGGCUCAGAACACAUUCACGCUGUAGUAUACCGAUUUGAGCAGGUGGCACUGUAAGGGAG